rnacentral:rRNA from 1 species
CCUACGGGUGGCAGCAGUAGGGAAUAUUGCUCAAUGGGGGAAACCCUGAAGCAGCAACGCCGCGUGGAGGAUGAAGGUUUUCGGAUUGUACACUCCUUUUGUUAGAGAAGAUAAUGACGGUAUCUAACGAAUCCUCACCGGCUCACUCCGUUCCAGCCGCCGCGGUACUACGGAGGGUGCACGAGUUACUCGGAAUCACUGGGCGUAAAGAGCGAGUAGGCGGGAUAGCAAGUCAGAUGUGAAAUCCUAUGGCUUAACCAUAGAACUGCCGUUGAAACUUUUAUUCUAGAGUAGGGGAGAGGUAGGUGGAAUUCUUGGUGUAGGGGUAAAUGCGUAGAGAUCAAGAGGAAUACUCAGUGCGAAGGCGACCUGCUAGAACAUAACUGACGCUGAGGCGCGAAAGCGUGGGGAGCAAACAGGAUUAGAUACCCGAGUAGUC